rnacentral:rRNA from 1 species
UAGGGAAUCUUCGGCAAUGGGGGGAACCCUGGCCGAGCAACGCCGCGUGAGUGAAGAAGGUUUUCGGAUCGUAAAGCUCUGUUGUUAAGGAAGAACGAGUGUGAGAAUGGAAAGUUCAUACUGUGACGGUACUUAACCAGAAAGGGACGGCUAACUACGUGCCAGCAGCCGCGGUAAUACGUAGGUCCCGAGCGUUGUCCGGAUUUAUUGGGCGUAAAGCGAGCGCAGGCGGUUAGAUAAGUCUGAAGUUAAAGGCAGUGGCUCAACCAUUGUAGGCUUUGGAAACUGUUUAACUUGAGUGCAGAAGGGGAGAGUGGAAUUCCAUGUGUAACGGUGAAAUGCGUAGAUAUAUGGAGGAACACCGGUGGCGGAAGCGGCUCUCUGGUCUGUAACUGACGCUGAGGCUCGAAAGCGUGGGGAGCGAACAGG